rnacentral:lncRNA from 1 species
UUUAUUAAUCUACGUUUCGCGUAGUUUAAUCUGAUAUGUUCGAUUUAUUUUUCGGCUAAGUUCUCGGUCACCUUUUGACUCGCCUGAGCCUUUUAACCGGUCAGAAUUUAUUUCAAAAUUAAAAGAAACGCUGUAUUUUUCCAAUAAGUUUAUUUUGCACUGAUCAUUUUAGUAUAUUUAUUUUAAUUUUUUGAUUACUUUUACGCUCGACUUUUUAUUCAUUUUUACCCCUUUUAUUUUUUGCAUUUUUGUCAAUAUUUUCUAAAUAGGCAAACAGUUUAUUAUAUAACGUUAUUUCAAUAUUAUUUUACUUUUUUACUUUUUUACUUUUUUAGUAUUUUUUUUCUUCACUUUAACUCUAUUUAAACUUUCAAAGGGGCAUUUUAGAUAUUUUAUAAAUUUAGUAACCCUAACUUGACAUGUAUAUAAAUUAAUCCAUUUUCCUGAAACCAAAAAAAACAGAAGCGGCGCCUCUAUCCGUUUGUUACAGUUGUAUCUCAUUUUUUUAAAUUAAAAAAAGAGAAGGAGUGUCCUUCUUCAUGAGUUGGUCAAGCAACUCUUUCUUUUAGAGAAAAAAAGUUUGUUUCAGGAACUAAACAUAACCAUUUUUACCUUUAACCAUGUGAAUACUACCAUAUAAAAAACACCAUGAAAACACAACACAACCCUCUUUCUUUCUCCAUGCGUGAACAAUAGUUAUACUUCAUGUUCUUCUUCAUUACUCACCCCAAAUAACAACCAUGAAACAAGAUUUGACCAUUUCUUAACAACAUACAAAACUCCUCUUCAACCAAGUAUCAUUUUCAACAAAUCAACUACACAAAGCACCAUUAAAUCUCUCUUUCUUCUACAACAACAUCAUAAAUCGUGACCGGUUCUGCAUCUCACCACCGUGUGGUUUCUUCUCCGG